rnacentral:ncRNA from 1 species
UCUUAUCAAGAGCAGGCGGAGGGACUAGCCCGAUGAAGCCCGGCAACCGGCGUAAGCACGGUGCUAAUUCUUGCGGAGACCAAUGGUUACAGGUUUCUGAGAGAUGAGA